rnacentral:rRNA from 1 species
GACGAACGCUGGCGGCGUGCCUAACACAUGCAAGUCGAACGAAGCAUAGCAAUAUGCUUAGUGGCGGACGGGUGAGUAACGCGUGAACAAUCUGCCCUGUACAAAGGAAUAGCCUCGGGAAACCGGGAUUAAAACCGUAUGACACUUUAGUAUCGCAUGAUAAGAAAGUCAAAUCGAAUAGAGGUAUGGGAUGAGUUCGCGUCUGAUUAGCUGGUUGGCGGGGUAACGGCCCACCAAGGCGACGAUCAGUAGUCGGCCUGAGAGGGUGAACGGCCACACUGGAACUGAGACACGGUCCAGACUCCUACGGGAGGCAGCAGUGGGGAAUAUUGCACAAUGGAGGGAACUCUGAUGCAGCGACGCCGCGUGAGUGAAGAAGGUCUUCGGAUCGUAAAACUCUGUCCUUGGUGAAGAAAAGGACGGUAGCCAAGGAGAAGCCCCGGCUAACUACGUG